CUUCCCUUUGCUUUAAAUGGAGGAUAUAGUUAAUAAUUUUUUUUUUAAAUUUUCUAUGUAAAUAAAUAAAGCUUAGUCAUUGGUGGUCAUAUCACUUUGUUGGACGAAUAUAAAGAAUAAAAAUGAUUUGAAAAAAGGAGAAAUGUAAUAAUUCAAUUGAAACACAUGUUAUUCUUUUCAAUAUCAAAUAAAACUUUAUCUGGAGAUCAUUAGGUAAGAAAAGGACUGCUGGUUGGGGCUUGUUGUUGUUAUCGGAGGAAGUUUUUCAUUUCACAUUCCCUGUACUGUUAUCAUUAUUACUCACUGAUUUCAGAUGUAUUAGUUACUUCAGCUGAAGUAUCUGAUGGUCACAAUUAUGAUCUUGCAAACAGUGUAUUCUAUGAAAAAUAAACAUAAAAACCCCUUUUAUAGAAACCUACCAUAUUUGACUUUUAAAUGUGUUCUAGGAAAUCUUAAAAUUUGCAUGACAUAGCUAUAAUUUGUUAAUACCAUUGCUACUUUCAAUUAAAAAAAAGUGGCGAAAGAUACCAAAGGGAAAUUCUUGACUUCAAAUGAAUUUUUUUUAUGAUCACUAUAAUUAUGAUCUUGCAAAUAGUUUAUUUGUUCAUAGAAACAGAUGAGGAGGGAUAGGACCUCUAUAAGGACUCCGGGAUCGAGGCUCAGGAUUUCGGGAUUCGGGAAUAAUUUUUUCGAAUUUCAGGGUGUCUGGAUUAAAAUUUAUUUAAAUUUGGGACCUCAGGAUUUCGUGUUUUUAAGCUGGGGAUUUUGGGAUCAGGACCCUUCCAACCCUGCCCCCCUCACAGAUGGGUCACAAUUUAUGUAAAUUUUCAAAAUCAGUAUACUAAUAGUAAAUUCUUAUUAGAAUUACAUUUAUUGACAAUGGCAACUGGAUUGAUGGUACCUUUAUAACUGAGUCAACCAGCAGUAGCAGAAUCAUUGCCCUAGUAAGUAAAUACAUGAUAUCCGUUUGUGUCUCGCGAUGACGGAGUUAAAAAGCGAGACAUAGGUAUGCUGUUUCCAGUGUCAGUGGCAGCGAGUGGUAGGUCAAUCAUAUUUGGUAUGCAAUUGUAUAAGCAUUGGCACAUCUCAUUUCCAUGGAGAUUAUUUGCCCCUGCACCCUCAGUCAUGGUCUAUUGACUUCAAAACUUUUGCUUAUUUUAGAUGUAUUAGUUUGUGAUUAGGUCAGUUUAUGGGGAACCACAAGUGGUAGGUCAAUGAUAAUUGGUAUUCAGUUGUGUAAGCAUCGGCAUAUCUCAUUUCCAUAGAGAUAAUUUAGCUCCGCCCCCUUAGUCAUGGUCUAUUGACUUUGAAACUUUUGCUUAUUUUACAUGUAUUAGUUUGUGAUUAGGUCAGUUCAUGGGGAACCAAAAGUGAUAGGUCAAUGAUAUUUGGUAUGUAGUUGUGUAAGCAUCGGCAUAUCUCAUUUCCAUGGAGAUAAUUUGGCUUUGCCCCCCUUAGUCAUGGUCCAGUGAUUUUGAAAUUUUUUCUGAGUUAUCAUGUAUUAGUUUGUGAUUAGGUAAAUUCAAGGGGAACCAUUAGUGGUAGGCCAAUGUUAAUUGGUAUUCAGUUGUAUAAGCAUUGGCACAUCUCAUUUCCAUGAAGAAUAUUUGGCCUCAACCCUCAGUUUCAGUCUAAUGACUUUGAAACUUAUAUUUGUUACAUGUAUUAGUUUGUGAUUAGAUCAGUUUAAGAUGAAUUGCUUAUGUUAAGUCAAUGUUAUUUGGUAUGCAAAGUUAUCCCCUCUUAUUGACUUUGAAACUUUUCUAUAGUUUACUAGUUAAUGUUUGUAUUUAGAUUUGGGAAUGUCUUAUAAUAAGUCAAUGGUCAUGAUGAUAUUUGGUAUGCAGUUAUAUAAGCAUUGGCAUAUCUCAUUUACAGGGAAAUUGUUUAGCAAUGUGUAACUCAGUCAUGGUUCAUUGACUUUCAAUAUUUGUAUAACUUGUGUAAGAUGUUAAAGUAUUUCUAUUUUGAUUUCAACAUUUGCAUAAUCAAAAUUACAAAAAGGCGAGACAUAUCUCUGUGAUAACAGUUUAUUAAAAAGUGUGUCUGACAUGUAUUUGGUAAACUUUAUCAGGUACAUAUGCAGAUAAACAAAUUGUCAAAUUAGAUUUUAAAAUUAAGUUUAGCAUCAUAGCAUAUCAUAUAAACUGAAAUGGUUUUUUUAAAUGAAAUAUUUGACUGUCUUAUUAUUAUACUGAAGGCCUUUGGCAUAUACCUUUAGAGGCAUAUGUGUGAUCAGCUGUAUACAAAUUUAGUCUUUUUAAUAAUGUUAACCAUGAUUUAAUUGUUAAGUUUUGUUAUUAGAUGUGAUAAUGUAUAAUAGAUUACAGGAUAGAAAAUAAGUUUUAGGAAUGCUGUUGUGUUUGUGACUGAAUUCGUUUUACAAGGUACUUAGGGAUGACAUUAAAAGAUCGAUGUAGGAUAAAAAACUUAAAUCAAAUAGUUUGGGGGUGGGGGGUCAACAUUGCUGCAAAUUUUGUUAAUCCAAAAUCGAUUUUACAUAUAUCCAUAUAGGUAAAUCAAUUUUUCCCAAAUUAUGUUAAGAGGGGGGGGGUCUGUGAAAAAACUAUGUGAAUUAAGUUUUUUAUCUUACAUUGAACUUUUGAUGUCGUCCCUUAGUUUUAUUACUUACAGCCCGUAACAGAGUAGUGAUCGAAUUCGCGUUUCUUUACCGUCAGAAUAAGUUACGUUAUCGACAAACGUAUUUCAGAAGUGACAUAAUUUAAUUUUCUUCAUCGACAAAAUAUUUCAUGUCCAACGUGUAAGUUUUCAUUGUUUAAGUCGAAGUUUUUUUAACACAGUAAAACAUUUUUUAUAAUCAACCUCCGUCAUUGCCAUUUUCAUUUUAACGGUAAAGGAUCAAAUACGGGAUCUCCGAAAUAUUUAUCAUUUGUUGCGAGGAAAUCAUUAUUCAAUCGAACAUAUGUCUUUGUUAAUGACACAUAUUAUGAAAUACAAAGGAGUGGAAAUGAUCAAAUACUUUCGAACUGACGGAAACAAAAAUACAUAAUCUAGAAUGUGUGUUCUGUCAUAAACAAUGGCUUCGUUGUGCGAAUCGACGAGAUCAUGUUACAUGUAACUGAUCUUAGCUGUAGAAACAGUUGGUGCGACCUCGAUAAAAUCUUUAUCAAUUUAAUAUAAGCGACAAGUAUUAGCCUUUCCAAAAGGGCUAGUCGUCUCCUAGCUGAUGAAAAUGGAAAGUGCUCUCGCUUUGUAGGUUAAUUCAUUUACUAGAAUAGCCACGUGCAUCAAUCAACAAAUUUUACCACACAUGUGAGGUCACACGUUAUGAAAUAGUAUAUAUUAACGUUAAACGUUGUUGUUUACGAAACUCCAGAAGAUUCGGCUAUUUAUAGAUAAAAGUUACCUGUAUACCAAUUUCAUGAAUAUGCAUGAUUAAUGACCAGGCAAAAUUUAAUUGCUAAAAUAAAGAGGACAAAUCCGAUACUCUAUGGGAUUGAAGGACAUUUAUUAGGUUUGGAUUGUCCUAACCAACUAAUAAACCUUGAUUAUUGACGUCUCGUAAUAUCUUCCAAUCAGGUAGUAAGAAGCAUUCACGCACUGACUGUCCAUCGUUCAAUUCUUAAUAUCGUCUGCUAGGAGACGAUAAUAAAUAUUCAUGACUACAAUAAUAAUGAAUUUAUUGGAGUCACAUCCACUGUUUCUACUGUAAACAUGAACUCGUCGGUUAGUGCAAUGAAGACACUUUUAAAGAUUGAGAUUAUUGGUUUAUUCUUUACACCUUCGAGGUAUUUUCAAAUCUCUUCUUUUUAAAAUUGUCGAAACUUCCGUUUAAGAUUUCUGUGGUAAACUAUCUAUUCUAUAGUUAGAACCAUUUUAUAAUAAAUACCCUUUUGUACAAGAAUACUUCUUUAUAGAAGUAUAGAUCUGCUGGUUAUAGAUUUUUUUUUAUAACUUUCAUUAUUGUGACGACGCGCUAUGAAAUUUAGAUUAAUUUAUAAAUGAAGUUGUAUAUAAAGUUUUGGUCAUAAACACAAAUCUUUUAAACAGUUCGACGAGUGCGUCAAUGUUACAGUAGUUUGUUUACUGUAAGUUACUAAGCUUGGCCCGAUUCAUCUGUCAUUUAUGGAAACUAAUUCACCAAUUUCUGAGACAUUCAUUUUUAUUUCACCAUCAGACAUGGAGCUACAUUUGUAACUAAAGGAAAACUCUCAAAUCAAAGAAAUUUGACAUUAUAUACUGAAACUUUCUUAUAAUCAAUUAAACUUUUUCAUUGUUAACGGACAUUUUGAGAUUUUUUAUUGUAAAAAAAUGGCGUUUUUUAAAGAAAUCAACAUUCAAAUGUUUGGAACUUCAUGAACAUGUACAGGAAUCUGAAUUAUUGCACAUCUAUGUACUACUUAAAAUUAUACUUCGAUCUGUUGCGUCCUUAAAAUGUUCUGACUGUCCUAAGAUUUAAUUUACGGAAAUGUUUCCGUAAAUUAAAUUCAAAUCCGAAUUGAAUGUUUAUGACACACGAAAAGAGAAACCAGAAUCUCUCGAUGACCAAACGUUUUUCAUUUGUACACUGCUAAAAACUGUCAGGUCCUGGCUAUGGUAUAUUUUGGAGAAAUUUUUUUUACUGAUUUUUACUAAAAAAAAUAUUCUCUGUGUGUGCCAUUGCAAGAAAUAGUUUUGCUCGUUAUUUUGUUAUAUUAAAAAAAAUUCUCAACAAAAUUUUCCCGUUUAAACUGUACUAGAAUAAAGUUUGGCAUGUGAAACCGACGAAGACAUAUUCUAACAGAAGUACAAAAACCAGUCCUCCCUUUUGUGUAUACAUAUGAGAAAACAUUUCAAAGUUAUUGAUUGAAUUCAAAUCCAUCACACAUACGGUACACAUUGUAGUCCGAAAAAAUAAAGGACUUCAUUCCUAUCAAACACCUUUUUAAUUGUUUACCAGUAUAUUUCAUUUAGUUUUGGGUAAAAUUGUAAAGGAAAUAAUACUAUCAAGACGUCCUUCCAUAAAUCUUUUUUUUUCUGUUCUGACUUUGAAGAAAUGACUACUUUUCGCCCAAUCGAAAUGGUGCAUGGACAUAUUUUGUUUCAUAUUAUUAGAAUUAUUUUCAAUAUUAUCGGUAUUAAACUUGAUUAUCGACACAUGAAAGUUCGUCAGCAUUGUCAAUCUUUUUAACGUUAAAGUACCAAUAGUUCGGUUACUACUUAAUUAUGAUUGUCGAUAACGUAGCUAAUUUUGACGGUAAAGAAACAUCAAUUCGAUCACUUCUCUGUUACGGGCUGUAUUUGCAAUCAUGAACGCAAUUGCAUUGUUCAAUGUAAAAUUGAACAUUCUAUCUUUAUUUUUAUUUAAGGAACACAAACAUAUCUUUGCUAACAUUUUUAAUGUCUUUACUACAAGGUUUUGUUAUUUUUUUUGUUAUUAAACUUAAAAUCACAUCUAUGAAAGAACAUGAAAUGCAUACUUAAAGAUUUUUAAUUGGAAACUCUAGACAAUGAAAAGAAAUAAAAGGAACUGAAUUUAUUUGAUAUUAUAGAUAAUUAAGAUUAUAGAGAAACAGAAUUAUCAAGAAAAGUAAUCAUCUAAGCAACUUCAUAGAUAUUAUGGCAUUGGUUAUUCCAAAUAAACUAAUAAGUUUUAGCCCAAGGUUAUUUCUUAUGGAAAUUAAUACAGAUUAUGAUAUUGUUAACAAUAGAGUGAUGAUUGAACUGAUAGUAA
rnacentral:lncRNA from 1 species